CUUCUGGAACACCUUGGAACCUCGCAACACUUCCUGCUGCUUCCGAACUAUUGCAAAUCAAGCCAGACGACCCUGCUCACUCACCACAGCGCCCGCCCCCUGGGGGCUGUUUGGGGUCGUAUCAGCCAUUGGAGACAAAUUCGCGCCUGCGACGGUGUAAUCGCGGAGUGAAGUGACAGAACGUCAGCGCUGGGGCCACGACCCGGGAAACCGGCUUCCUCGCCGGGUGCCACAGGCUCGUCUCGCCUUGCGGGAGCUCCGAGACUCCUGAGUACAAGGUCUACACCAGAGGCUUGAAAAUACAAGAUCAAGUUAUCAGCGAUGUGGCUUCAUUUUGUGGCCUUUUCUCUUGGCUUGAAGGCAGCUGGAUGCUCAGCAGAGGGGAAUGUCUAGGUUCACAACCCUGUGCAACACAUCAAACAAUUACUUAUAGUCCAAAGAAUUCAGGAACUGUGAGAAUAACCUGGACUCUUCAAAAGAAUCAGGAAAUUAAUUCUACACGAAUUAGAUCUGUUUUAGG
ensembl:lncRNA